CCCUGCAGCGCAGCAGGGGGUGCGUGCUCAAUUUUUUUACUGAUAGAGGUGCGCGAUCAAAAAAGUUUGAAGACAGCUGCUAUAGUCUAUUGCUGAUGAAAGCACUGCCUAUGCCAAGGCAAGCUGUGAUACGGCCUCUAGUGGUCAUAUGGAUGACAAGGUCAGCUACUUGUCAAGUGAUAGGAAUGGAAUUGAUCUAAAUAAGUGGAAGCCACAGCAAUAUUAGGAUUACAGUAAACCAAAUUUUACUUGAAAUUGGGUAGAAGUGUUGUCCAAGCAACAUACAUUUCCCAAAUGUUUAAAUUGUUAAUGACAUAUUACUUCACCCACCUCAUCUUUUAUUGGACCAACUUCUAUUGGUGAGAGAGACAAGUUUUGAGCUUACACAAGCUCUUCUUCAGGUCUGGGAAACUUAAUCAGUGUCACAGCUAAAUACAAGGUGAAACAGAUUGUUUAACAUGCGUAGAUAACACAUAUUUCAAGGUUCCAUUCAAGGUGAAGUAGCCUGUUUAAAACCCCAUCAGUCAGAGUUUUUAUUGUAUAUAUUCUGUUAUGUGUAGCCUUAACCUUUGUGUAUUAGUGCAUAAUCUUUUCUUUUGGAGUUUGUCCUGUUGUUCAUUCCUGCUUCAUCUCACUCCCAAAUAUAAAUUAGACUUUAAUUCAGUUGUUUCCCAGACUUCCCUUAGAAAGGUCUAUCUUCUUCAGCAGAAGGGUGUGAUGGGCAUUUUUCAUUCUAGAUGCUUUAGCAAGGAUUAGAUCUCAUGAUAGCAAGGUAUCUUGGUAUUUUACUGGCAGUUGUAAAAAGACCAACCUAGACAAUCUAUCUCUCAUCUCCAAUGGAGUAGUCUAUGAACAAACUCAGUAGACCCAGGCUUCUGUACAUUAGCAAUCCAAAGCGCCCAGUGCAGACUAGCCUAACAAUAGUUUCCAUUUCAGAUGGAACAGGAAGUUUGUUCUUUAACUUAGCUAUAACGGCUUCCCUCACCACAACUGCCACAUCUCUGUGGUCCCUGAUGCUUGUGCUCUUCUCCAGUCUCCCCCAUCCUCUUCCCUCCUUCUAAGACUCUCUUGCUUCUGUUAGACUCCAGGCUAGAAAACAAUCUCCCCACACAUCAGAGACAGCAGCUCAAUUUGCUAUGUUUAAGCAGUAAUAGGGGGUGUCAGAGAAAUUUCUCUAUUGACAUCACCAGGCAGUUGGGGGUCCUGACCUUCCUCUCAAUCAAACUCUUCCAUGAUGCCUGGAAUAUUCCCUGAAAUUCUGGAAUUGCUUGGAUGUGGUGUUCCAAAGUUAUUCCUUAAAGACAAAUAGAGGUGCCAUGAAGUUGAGUGUGGGGUCUUACUUCAUUCAAUCAACAAUGCUGCUCUUAGUAGAGUUAAAGAAUCCUGGCUACAUAUAUUUUUUCUUCAAAACAAUUAUUAACCUUAAAUAGGAAACCAAGCUUGAACUAGAGUUCAUCACUUUGUUCUCAGGCUGAGAAUACUACUAAAUCUGAGACAUUAGAAGAAAUAAUUCUGGUCCCCCUCUAGCUCCUCUCAUGGAAUUUAAAAUAGUUCUUAAUGUUCUUACAAUCACCAAGAUUGAUUAGAGAUCUUAACCAGUCUUUUAAAAUAAAAAUUUGGAUGUUACAACUAAGGAUAAAAUUUGCCUUUAAGUUUCUACUCCUUACCUUCAGUUUGUAGUUUGGAGAAUGCAUUUGUCCACCUCCUGAAUGGUGCUGGCCGGUGUGAAUUCAAAAUCUGUGCUUAAUAUCUGCAUUGAUUUCUUAUUAGUUUCCAGGUUAUAUUCAAGAUUCUGUCAUUGAUCUUUAGUCCUAAAUGAUCUGGAAUCCAGUUAUGUGAGACAGUGCCCAAUUUCUAUGUCAGCAAAGAUCUUCUAGCUAAUUUUUAAAAGUAUGAACAUUAUGUGAUUAGCUGCUGGACUGUCUCAUUUGAGAACCCUGUGCCUUUAGAGUCUAGUGAUCUUAUGUGAGGCUUGUUUGUAUGGUUUAGUGUUUGUUUUUGUAUUCUUUCUAGAUAGCCCAUCUGAUUUGUGUGUUAAUCUCUGUAACCACUGCAGCAGGUACACCUCUACCCCGAUAUAACGCGACCCGAUAUAACACGAAUUCAGAUAUAACCCGGUAAAGCAGUGUUCCAGGGGGCGGGACUGCGCACUCCGGUGGAUUAAAGCAAGUUCAAUAUAAUGCGGUAAGAUUUUUUGGCUCCCGAGGACAGCGUUAUAUUGAGGUAGAGGUGUACUAUAGAAAUGAGUAAAAUAAAUAUAAAAACUAAGGGCUGUGUCUGUCUAAAAUCAGGAUUAUUAAUUCUGAUAAGAAAAACAAAUAUCUUCUUGAUGUCUUCAAGGAUAAACUGGGUAAAAUUUCAAGACUCACCCACUUUCUCAAGUUAUAUAUGGCAGGGAGUGGAAGGAGGCAUAGCACUCCAACCUUGUCAAAAGACUUUUUCGGGUAGUCUUUGUCCCUUUCUUGACUCUCCUUCUGCCCUCCAGUGAGUCCAAGUGCACUUUCACUUGGCAGCACCUCUCUAAAGCACUAUAUAAAUGCUAAAUAGUGUGGUGUGAUAUAUGAUGUGGUUCAUACUUUUAAAAAAAAUUCAGCUCACAUUUGAGAUUACUUACGGCAUUCCAUUAUGAAGCAGAACUGAUGUCAUUAUGCAGAUUAUCCAUUAUGACAUGCUAAUGGUAACUCUUACACUCAGCAUUUCAGUGCUGGACAGAUCAUGUCCAUACUGUAUGAGAUUUUAAAUACAUCAGUAUGAGGAAGAUCCCAGGCCAUUCACUACUGAAGGAGAACAGGUAAGAGAGCAAAUUGAUCAUAUUUCAGAAAAUGUUUAAAUACAAUUUUAAAAAAUAAACCCAUAACAUAGGUGGGAGGGGAAAUAUGGGAGUUUAAACAGGUGGUCUUCAUCUACAUGUUAAUAUAGAAUGGGGCUUUGAUUGUUUGGGCCAAAUGUAGAGAUUGUGAAUUCUGUGGCAGGAUCUCUCAACAUCUGUUUGCACAGUGGCCAGCCCAAGAGGGACCCAAUCCGGAAUGAUGCCUUUUGGUGCUAAUUUGAUAUAAAUACUCAGCUUAGUAAAUUUGUGUGUGUCAUUUUCUCCACUUUCCAUGGGGAAGCUGUAUUCACUGUGACAGUGCUUGUGAUUCCACAAACAGCGUUACAUGAGUCCAACAUUACAUAGUGCAUAGUACAUAUAGUUUUCCUAUAUAAGAAUUUCAUACAUGGACUUUACUUCUGUUUUGCUCAUGUAUCAGACUCUAAUCUUAAAUACUUUAUAGAAAAUUAGAAUAAGAUCUAAAGUAUUAAAUUAAUGGAGAUAUCCUAUCUCCUAGAACUGGAAGGGACCUUGAAAGUUAGUCCUUCACUAGCAGGACCAAGUACUGAUCUUGCCCCAGAUCCCUAAGUGGCCCACUCAAGGAUUGAACUCACAACCCUGGGUUUAGCAGGCCAAUGCUCAAACCACUGAGCUAUCCCUCCCACCACUGUAAUUUUAAAAUUUGAAACCAUAAAUGUGUGAGAUGCAUUAUCUUUUCUGUUGUAGUCUGAGUAAUCUGUAAACAAAUUUAUCAAACAGGAAAUAAUAAAAUAUACUGUUGACAAAAUGGAUAGGUAAGAAUACUUUCAGCAUCAUCUGAAAAAGGAUUUCCAUAUCUACUCUCCAUGCCCCACCUAGCUCUGGAAUUUGGGGGAUUUUUCUUGUGCUAGUUUUCUGGACCCUACUUAUAUCUAGUGUUGGUUGUCACUGAAAGGCACUAAGAUUCCACAGAUAAGAGAUGAAUUGAGCACAGGAGUGGGAGCUAGGAACUCCAGAGUUCUAACCUCCACUAUACUACUGACUUGCUCUAUGGCCUCAGGCAAGUCACUUGAUCCUCUAUAGGUCAAAGUUUGUGCUGACUUAUGCCAGGUGUAUCUCCACUGAAGUCGAAUGAAUGAAUGAAUGAAUGAAAUAGUAAUGAGGUAAAACAUUACAGAAUUUGACCCUUUGUUUCCUCAUCUGUUUCCUCAUUUGUUAAACCAGGUUGAUACCAACUGGGUUGCUGUGAGGAUUAAUCAAUAAAUUCCUUCUUGUGUAUUCUCUAUUAACUUAGUAUGGGACACAGAAUGAUGCAGUGAAUAGGGUAUUGAAUUGACAGUUGGGAGACCUGGACUCUAUCCUUGGCGCUGCCACUGAUCUGCUACAUGUCCUUUGGCAAGUCAUUCAAUUUCUCCUCUGCCUCAGAUACGUCAUCAGUAAAAUAGGGAUUAUAUGUACAUUAUCUGAGCUUGGGAUCAUUACUAUGUAACUAAACAGCCCACUGGUUUCAAACAAACUAGUAUGGAAAACUGUAAGGUGGUGCAAACUUGACUACAUUCAGCUGAACACAUUGCAACUGUGUUUACCCUUUGCUGUGGUCUCUUCUCCAGAAAACAGAAUUUAUCUUUGCAUAAUCAAAGGUUCAAGACCUAUUCCUAGGGCUUCUCCAUUCAUGUAUAUGGUAGAUGUUCCCAGCCAUGCUGAGCAAGUGCAUUUGCUGGAUGAUAGUGGUUUGAGUCUGUUAAGCAAGAGUAGCAUUCCUACAUCCAAAUUAAAACAGACCACUUAAAAAAAUUAUACUCUUCGAUUUAAAAAUCACUAGUUUCAUCAGAUCAGGUUUGUGCAGGGUUGGAGGUAAAAGGGCAUUAAUCAGGUUACAUUAUGAAUAUUUUGAAAAGCUAGAAACUUUAGGAUCUCUUCUUAAAUUUUAAAAGAAAGAAAUGUAGACUUCCCUAAAAAUCUAUGGAAAUAUGCAUAUUUUCUGAUGUCUGAAGGGUUUUUAUUGUCUUCCUUGUAAGAUGAAUGAAUAAACAUCAACUUUGUUUCUAAAGGUGUUUAAUCAUGCAAGGUUUAUCAUUCAAACACAUUUCCUUUUUCUCAUUGAUACAAUCCAUAUAAAAUCAAUUGUCUAGAAAAUAUUUUUGUUCGAUAUAUUACAAGAAGUAUGGAUUUAGACUGAUAGGAUCAAAUGUUUAUGUAGGAUAUGUAUUUAAUCUUUGUAUAUCCUUUAAUUUGUAUUAUACAUGUGACAAUGGAACAGAGUAAAAUAGAAUACCUGGCAAGUCCUGAAGUAUAAGUGUUGGUACAAGCAUUGAUGCAACGUAAUUCCCUACUUGGACUGGAGAGACUGGUGUAGAGAUACUUACUUGUGCUGAGGCGGCAAAUUAAAUCACGGACUGUAUAAUAGAACAAGACUGGGAUUAUUUACCCAUUUCAAGAAACUAAGGCACUCUCAGUUAGAAGAUGCUCUCUGUGUAGAGGCUUCAAUCAAUGAAAGGUUGAGAUGCGCCGCACCAUAAGCUGUACUGGGAAGAAAUGUACACUGGUCAUAGACAACUAAGAGCCAUGAGUUUGUGAUGAUAUCCUCCACAGAAAAAAAGAUGGCUGAUGAGUAGCGAAAGAUUUUAAGACGGGAUUUCCUUGAGGAAAUCUUGUCUGAUUGUAGCACAGACACUACCACCUCUGAACCCUACUGCAAAACUCAUGGGCCUUGUGUGGCUCAACAUGUCAAGGUGUGGAAAAUGGUUUGUUUUUGGCAGCCCAAAAGUCUGCCAUUAAGAGGUAACCCUGAGUAGCACUUCAUAGCAGAACUUUUCCCUAGUGAGAUUCCACAGCUUUUCCCCUUUCUGGGUCACUAGCUGUUCCUUUCCAGUGUUUGUGCACCUGCUAUACUACUGUCAGCAACCUAAUAUCCUUAAGAGUCAUCAACAGGCUGGUAACAGAAUUGAGCUCCAUAUUACAGCAUUAAUAAUAGUGAGACCACCUAGAUCCAAUAGCCUGGGGAAGUGGAGCAGAGCUUCUCUCCAGGUUGCAAAUGGAAUAGCUCAUGUUAAUGGUGAGGUAGUGAUGGUGGCCAAGGCAUUGGUGAUGUAAAUGGAGAAGGAUGGAAGGAAGAUACAGUGGAAAGAAUGGAAGAAAAGAGGCAGGGAGUAACUGGAAGCUGAGGAAGCAGGGAGAGAAGAGGAGGGGGAAAAAGGCACAAAAGAGAAAAUGACAGAAGGAAAGAGAGAAGAGAAUAAAACUGAAAGGGAAGAAACAGGUUUAUAGUUUGUAAAAUGAACCAGUAAAUGAAACUUAGAUGAAUAAAUCCAUCGGAGGAUAUCAAACUGGUACAAUGCAUGUAAAUUUAUGUAAAUAUGUAUUAGUUGCCCCAGGGUUCCCAGCAAGAUGCCAGUCCAGCUCUGUGCUGUAGAAGUUGCACACUAUUGCCUCCAUAAGACUUCUGAAAUAAAUAUAGGGUGAUGCAGCUCCUGUAUACCACUUCCACGUAAACAGUUGGUCGAGAGGCUUUUUGGAUCCCCUAAGGCAAUCCUGAAAGCAUUUGCAGACCAGUACUAAGUGGACUGAGACUGGUAUUUGCGUCACCUCAUACCUUCAUUACUUUUUUUUCACCACUACAUUCCUUAUGCUUUUAAGGAUUUAUCAGAGUAGUAAAGAGAUCUGUGAAGGCAGAAGAUAAGUGAAGUAAUGAGACUUAUGCAUAUUGAUCUCUAAGGAUCUCAAAAAGCUUGAUGAAGUUUAUUAACUAUAUAUGUAGGAAUUGCUUUACUCUCCAUUGGAGUACAGCCAUCUUUGGGGUGAAUUGUGACAAAUGUUGUGUAGCAUUACUGUGUUCUGCUAUUCCAGUUAGGACAUGAAGUAAAGAAUCCUGUGUUUAAUUAUGGUAUUACUUGUUUUACCAUAAUAGGAGCUCUAGUCGUGGGCCAGGGUCACACUGUGCUAGGUGGUGUACAACAGAGCAAAAAAAGAUGGUCCUUACCUCAAAGAGCUUACAAUCUAAACAUAAGACAAGAGACAACAGAUGGAUACAGACAGAAGUGGGGGAAUACAAGGAAACAAUGAUACAAACAGACAGGGGAGUAUAAGGAAACAGUAUUGGUCGGCGUGAAAGGUCGUGGUCUCAGCGCACCAAGGGCCUAACUGUUGUCAGGUUUUUUUAUAGGCAUCACAGCAAAGGAGAGUUUUGAGAAGAGUUAUAAAGAUUGAUAAUGAGGUAGCUUUGCAGAUACUUUUAGGGAGCCCCUCCCAAGCAGGAGGGGCAGCAUAAGAGAAAGCACAAGGAUAUUUGUUUUGAAAAUUUAACAAGUGGGUGACAGAGAGUAACCUCAUGGGCUGAUCAGAGAAGAGCAGGGUUGCAAUGAGAAAUGACGCAGAGGAAGUGGCUGUGGCAUAGUUCCCCUCUUAGCCAUCAGUUAUUUUCACUGGGUAAAAUUGCUAAUAGUUGGGCUGAACAGUGGAGCCUCAGAACCUGGAGUCUGCAACAGGCUGAAGACCGUGUGGUGGAGAGAGACAACGCAGACAAAGCAGCAGCAGCAGUGAGGCGUCCCCUAUCCAGCAACUGUAGAGCUGUAAUUACUCAUCUCUGUGCAAGGAGAUGGAGGUACCACAUGAUUGGAGCAGUGUGGUAAGAGAUGGAAUUGAAAAUACCCAAGUGGAAUUUGAGUAGUUGACCAAUAAUAACACUUCCUUCCUGUGUGAUAUUGUGUGGGAUCUUCAGUAAGAAGUAUUCAGGGGCUGAAUAUCUUCUUCUGGGAAUCGGUUGAAAACUUUUUCUCACAGUAACCUGGUUUUCCCUCUUGGAUCCCAUCCAAGUGCUGACCUUGCCUACCUUAUGAAAUCAUAAGAAGUAUGGCUGUAGGGGAUAAGGAGCAGUAGGUGAAAUCAUUUGUCUUCAACAUCUUUGGAGUAAUAAAGUUAGCAAUUGUGUACGUUUGUCAUCCAUGAUAUGUAACAAAUCUCUUUUACAGACUAUUUUCCAAGUGACUAGUGUCUCUCUUCCAAGUACCUUCAUGUUCUGCAGCUUUUGCUCGGCAUGUUCCUACAGGGAUAUAUUUGAUAUUGUUGUGUUAAGGAAGAGCACUGCCACUUUAUUUUUCCACAUGAAUCAUGUAGCCUAGGUAUUCUUAGUUUGUUCCUUUUUGUCUUCUGGUAGGUUUAUCUGGAUGAGUCACAUCCCAGAUCUUAUCUUUGAAUGACUUUGGUAAAUGAUUGUACUUCAGUUCUGUUUAUAAACGAAGUACUAAGUUGCAAAGAUGUUUUUCAAAGCUUAUUAAUGUGUUAUGUGGACACUUGGUCUUCAGUAGUUUUGCAUUGUAGUACAUAUUACAUGGUAAUUUGCAUACCAUCUUGACAAGUUGACUAAACUGUCUUUCCUGAUGUGACCCGUCUUGCAGUUAGUGUUGCUGAAGUUCAGUUCUUACAUUUAUCAGAGGUUCUUCUGGCUUGGUCAAGUUCAGUUGUUCCUAUGGGAACUGUUUGGAUUUGAAUGAAAGCUUUUCUGGUUCAUUGCGAGUGUUAGCACUUAUGCCAAGUUUUCCAAAAGUGACUAGGGAUUUUGAGUGCCUUCGUUUUUGAGAACCUAACUUGAAAUACCUUAACGGAGCCUGAUUUUUUUACAAAGGUGGUGCUCAGUAUUUGCUGAAAACCAUGCUCUUUUGGUGGAAUGGCAUCAAAAAACAGACAUCCAAUAAUAACUUUUGAGAGGCUUGGCCUUUAAUGCUAAUUACCUUUUCACCUGGAACCAAAUAUUUCCCAUCCAAGAAAUUGCCCAUUUUAAAAAUGCCAAAUCUGCCUUGGCAUAUUGAAGUACUCUGAGGUGUAAAUUGUGUGUGUUUUCAAGCUUCACCUUUGCUCUAUGCUGCCACAUCCCUAUUUUAAUUCUUUGUUUAUUAUUGACUAUUUAAAUACUUCCAGGCCAGGUUCUUCUCUUUUCUCCAUUAUUUGUUUUAAAGUGGUGUCGGAGAAAAACAGAGUUCUCACUAUUUGUUUAGGUAUAGCAAGUCAGAUGCUUUAUUAACUCUCACAAUUGCGCAGAG